rnacentral:lncRNA from 1 species
CUGGCUGAGGAUGUACUGGAAGAUGAGGGUUUCCUUCCCACAGGUGACCUCGGCAAUCUCCGGCAGCAGGUCCGCGAAGCCAUCUCUGGCCGGCGAUGCCCGCAUUGCAGAUACUCUCCUUGCCCCUAUAGAAACCCCAACUGCCCCUCUAUAGACGAAAGGAUUCAGAGAGCACGACGAAUCAGCAACGAGCACACACAUGGAGCGGCGACGGCGGGGGAGGAAGAUACCUGCGAGCAAGGACAUGAGGAGGAGAGAAGUGAAGGCGUCGGUGCUAGGGUUUAGGCGUCGCGCACACGAGUUGGGGCUCCACUGGGUGGAUACGGACGUCGUCAUCCCAUUCUCCGUCCCCGGCGUCCGACGACAAGGCCGGAUCGCGCCGCCGCCUCCCACAAGGCAGAUCAUGGAUCGAAACCAGCACCUGCACCUGCACCUUCUCCUCCCACCUGCUCCUCUGUCAGCUCUGUACCACUGCUGGCACUCCUCCGUGCUGGCAUCGCUAUCGCUCGCAUAGGCGUGGAGACGAAGAUGACACGUGGGCGUGGGACUCG